rnacentral:rRNA from 1 species
AAGUCGAACGAGAAUCUACUGAAAGAGUUUUCGGACGAUGGAAGUAGAGGAAAGUGGCGGACGGGUGAGUAACGCGUGAGGAACCUGCCUUGAAGAGGGGGACAACAGUUGGAAACGACUGCUAAUACCGCAUGAAGCAUAGGGGUCGCAUGAUUCUUAUGCCAAAGAUUUAUCGCUUCAAGAUGGCCUCGCGUCUGAUUAGCUAGUUGGCGGGGUAACGGCCCACCAAGGCGACGAUCAGUAGCCGGACUGAGAGGUUGAACGGCCACAUUGGGACUGAGAUACGGCCCAGACUCCUACGGGAGGCAGCAGUGGGGAAUAUUGGGCAAUGGGCGCAAGCCUGACCCAGCAACGCCGCGUGAAGGAAGAAGGCUUUCGGGUUGUAAACUUCUUUUAAGAGGGAAGAGCAGAAGACGGUACCUCUAGAAUAAGCCACGGCUAACUACGUGCCAGCAGCCGCGGUAAUACGUAGGUGGCAAGCGUUGUCCGGAUUUACUGGGUGUAAAGGGCGUGCAGCCGGGUCUGCAAGUCAGAUGUGAAAUCCAUGGGCUCAACCCAUGAACUGCAUUUGAAACUGUAGAUCUUGAGUGUCGGAGGGGCAAUCGGAAUUCCUAGUGUAGCGGUGAAAUGCGUAGAUAUUAGGAGGAACAUCAGUGGCGAAGGCGGCUUACUGGGCUUUAACUGACGCUGAGGCUCGAAAGCGUGGGGAGCAAAC